CAAAAGAGAAAUCAGUAACCGUCGUACACUGAGCCCGACUUUGAUUAUCGUGUCGAAAGUGAACGUGCAAGAAACACGUUUAUGCGAAUGGACUCAUUUUUACCAUUCUCUAAAUAUUUCUCUUAUCCCGUAUAUUCGAUACCGUGGCCAUGUGGAAUUUAAUCGUGUAGUACUCGAUCGAAAUUAGUUAAAAGAAAGUGUACGGUUCUACACGCGUAAAGGCGAUAAUGUUGCCAAUGUUAGAAUCUUUCGGACUCAUUCUUGUUGUGACAUUUUUGGUUGCUUACUACUUAACGUCAUGCAUCGACUUGUAGCAGCAACGAGACAGAGAGGAGCUAAAAUCUGUUUCUCAUUUGAGUAAUUUUAAGGAUGUGUUUCUCGGGAAGGCGUCGAUGAGUGAUUAUUUCUUCAAGUAUGUACCAAGACGAAACGAUAGUGCGUACAUUUGGAAGAAACAUUGGUCCUUCUUUUAACUUCGAAGGACAUAGAUCCGAUAUCAAAUGAUUUUAUCAAAGAUUUCUCCGUCAACACGGAUAGACCACUGGGUCCUCCGGAAGAGAAAUCCAUCACACCAAAAUUCGCUCUCAAGAAUAAGGCAGUACAAUUAAUUCUCAACUCACUUGCAAGGAUAGACUGAAAUCUCAGUUUGCAAGAAGAAGCACCAGGGACCAGGAAAUUCGCGAUGCUAGGAAGUACAUAUUCCUAUGCUUGCAAUUCUCUUUCAACUAGGCAACGCAGAUGUAUCUGUACAUAAAAGAUGCAAACUUACGAGAUUUCGAACCAUUACACACGCAUUAAACGUACGAUUCAAUUUCUGAAACAGUCAUGCAAGUAUUACAUUCGACAAACGGAGAUAAGAAAUUUUCCAUGAGCAAUCGAUAGAAGAUUUACUGUGUAUAUUUCAUGUAUUACGUUUACUCAAUAUAAAAUGACCUUAUCUAAAAUUGAUGAAAUUAAUCUUCUCGAUCAUCCGCAUUAGCAGAUUUGUACAGUUGUUAUCAAUAUUCUCUUAAGUCUAUGGAAUCGUGACAAAGAGAGGUGAAAUUUUCGUUACGACAGUGAAAAAAAUGGAAAACGAUUAAAAGUACAUUGAGUAAGACAAGCAAUUGGCGCAACGACAUACCUGUAAUAUGCAAUAACAAUUUUUUUUGUAAUGAAACUGUAUAUUAUUACAAUAAAUGCAUUCCUUUGAA